rnacentral:rRNA from 1 species
GAUGAACGCUGGCGGCGUGCCUAAUACAUGCAAGUCGAGCGAACAGACGAGGAGCUUGCUCCUCUGACGUUAGCGGCGGACGGGUGAGUAACACGUGGAUAACCUACCUAUAAGACUGGGAUAACUUCGGGAAACCGGAGCUAAUACCGGAUAAUAUAUUGAACCGCAUGGUUCAAUAGUGAAAGACGGUUUUGCUGUCACUUAUAGAUGGAUCCGCGCCGCAUUAGCUAGUUGGUAAGGUAACGGCUUACCAAGGCAACGAUGCGUAGCCGACCUGAGAGGGUGAUCGGCCACACUGGAACUGAGACACGGUCCAGAGUCCUACGGGAGGCAGCAGUAGGGAAUGUUGCGCAAUGGGCGAAAGCCUGACGGAGCAACGCCGCGUGAGUGAUGAAGGGCUUCGGAUCGUAAAACGCUGUUAUUAGGGAAGAACAAAUGUGUAAGUAACUAUGCACGUCUGGACGGUACCUAAUCAGAAAGCCACGGCUAACUACGU